UACGUAGGUGGCAAGCGUUGUCCGGAUUUACUGGGCGUAAAGAGCGCGCAGGCGGUCGUUCAAGUCGCGUGUGAAAGCCCCCGGCUCAACUGGGGAGGGUCACGCGAUACUGAUCGACUCGAAGGCAGGAGAGGGUAGUGGAAUUCCCGGUGUAGUGGUGAAAUGCGUAGAUAUCGGGAGGAACACCAGUGGCGAAGGCGGCGCCUGGACAAGUACUGACGCUGAGACGCGAAAGCGUGGGGAGCGAACAGG
rnacentral:rRNA from 1 species